GUAGGGAAUAUUGCGCAAUGGGGGAAACCCUGACGCAGCGACGCCGCGUGAGUGACGAAGGCCUUCGGGUCGUAAAGCUCUGUUGCAAGGGAAAAACAAAAUGAUGGUACCUUGCUAGAAAGGAUCGGCUAACUUCGUGCCAGCAGCCGCGGUAAGACGAGGGAUCCUAGCGUUGUUCGGAAUUAUUGGGCGUAAAGCGGGUGUAGGUGGCUUUGUAAGUCAGGUGUGAAAGCCUGGGGCUUAACCCCAGAAGUGCAUUUGAUACUGCGAAGCUUGAGUGCUGGAGAGGCUACUAGAAUUCUUGGUGUAGUGGUGAAAUACGUAGAUAUCAAGAGGAAUACCGGAGGCGAAGGCGGGUAGCUGGCCAGACACUGACACUCAGACCCGAAAGCGUGGGGAUCAAACAGGAUUAGAUACCCCUGUAGUCC
rnacentral:rRNA from 1 species